rnacentral:lncRNA from 1 species
UUUUUCAAACAUUGAAAGUAUUUAACAUUGUAUCAAAUAAUCACUUGCAUUAUGAAUGGGGAAGUGAGUAGGAGGUGGGGGGCAGGCUGGUAGGAGUUUCUUGACAGCUUGUGGAAAAAUUGAGAUGAGCUCCAGACACCAGAAACUGCUUAAAUAACCAUGCAUGGGUUACUAGAGGUGAGGCUAAGUGUAAACUAAGGAAAAGAGGACCCAAACCACAAGCAUUAGCAACUCCUUGGCACCUGCUUAUAAAAGAUCAACCCCUAUUUUCUAUCCUGUGGAGAGGGGGUGUUUUACUGGGCAAACAUAAAAGCUUGAGAGAGACAUUAGGAUCCUGCAGCCUGUUAUAUAAAAUGCUUUCCUUUAGCAUACAAUGAUUAAUUAGGUGUCUAUUAAAAUAGCUCAAAGAUAAUCAUUAAGUUUUAAAUGCA